rnacentral:rRNA from 1 species
UGCCAGCCGCCGCGGUAAUACGAAGGGGGCUAGCGUUGUUCGGAAUUACUGGGCGUAAAGAGCGUGUAGGCGGUUAUGUAAGUUAGAGGUGAAAUCCCAGAGCUCAACUCUGGAAUUGCCUUUGAUACUGCGUAACUUGAGAUCGUGAGGGGAUAGUGGAAUACCUAGUGUAGAGGUGAAAUUCGUAGAUAUUAGGUAGAACACCAGUGGCGAAGGCGACUAUCUGGCACGAUACUGACGCUGAGACGCGAAAGCGUGGGGAGCAAACAGGAUUAGAUA